GCCUGGGUGGUUCAGUCAGUUGAGUGUCUGACUUCAGCUCAGGUCAUGAUCUUGCUGCCUGUGAGUUCAAGCCCCACAUCAGGCU
rnacentral:tRNA from 1 species